AACGCACCUUGCGCUCCUUGGUAUUCCGAGGAGCAUGCCUGUUUGAGUGUCAUGGUAUUCUCAUCUCUUACUUGUUUUAUUCUAUGAGACAAGUUUGAGCUGGAUGUGGAGGUUUCUGCCGGUGCUUGCCAUCGGCUCCUCUGAAAUGCAUGAGUGCAGAUGUUUUCCGAGUGUUCUCUCAGCGUGAUAAUUGUCUAGCUGUGGGCAUGAGGUGAUAUUAAAUCUGUGCUUCAAACCGUCUCUUGACUGAGACAAAUCAUUGACAUCUGACCUCAAAUCAGGUAGGACUACCCGCUGAACUUAA
rnacentral:misc_RNA from 1 species